GGCCGGGUGGCGGAAUGGCAGACGCGUCUGACUCAAAAUCAGAUAUCCUUCCGGGUGUGAGGGUUCAAGUCCCUCCCCGGCUACCA
rnacentral:tRNA from 1 species